GAUGAAGAACGCAGCGAAAUGCGAUACUUGGUGUGAAUUGCAGAAUCCCGUGAACCAUCGAGUCUUUGAACGCAAGUUGCGCCCGAAGCCAUUAGGCCGAGGGCACGCCUGCCUGGGCGUCACACGUCGUUGCCCCCCCAUCUACUCCUUCGGGAUUGCGGGGGGCGGAUGAUGGCCUCCCGUGCGCCUCGUCGCGCGGUUGGCAUAAGUGCCAAGUCCUCGGCGACGCACGCCACGACAAUCGGUGGUUGCGAAACCUCGGUUGCCCGUCGUGUGCGGUCGUCGCGCAUCGAGGGCUCGAAAAAAUUGCCGGGCUCCGGCUCGGCUUUCAACGCGACCCCAGGUCAGGCGGGGUUACCCGCUGAAUUUAAGCAUAUCAAUAAGCGGAGGA
rnacentral:misc_RNA from 1 species